AUUCGGAAAAUGUAAUUAGGAACAGAGAAAAGUAAAUACAAGAAAAGCAGAGAUGAAACAACCAGGAGACCCUGGAACCAUGGCAUGCUAUGGAGAGGGUUCUGGAAGCCAAGCAGGAUGACACUUUAAUAAUAAAAUAUCCAAAGGUGUCAGAAAGAGAGAUAAAGGGUGAAAAAGAAACACAGAAUGGAGGAGCAGCUCCCCCUGGCCGACUUCAGAAUUUUUACCCCAUCACCAGAUUUAGCAGUCAUAUAAUUUCACUGUAAACAGUCGACUUCUUUAUGAGGUGCAUUUAUGAGAUCCUGCUGAUUACUUUAAUGUCAGGAGUAUUGUGGGGAAAGGGAAGGGAGGAGGUAACAUCCAUAAGGCACAUAACAGGGAGCUGGGGUUCAGACUGUAUACGUUAUUUACCUUUUUGCUCCACUUCUAUUUUAAGCAUCGGAAGAGAAACAAAAAAAAAAGUGCAAGGAAAAAAGAAAAAAGAUUAAAAUAAAUUGACUAUUAGUCUAAGACUGAAUUCGUAAUAGAUGCUAAAUAUAGGAAGAAUAAGAGCUGUACUACUUUGGAUAAAGAGAAACACACAACAGGAAAACCUAGCAGGAGAAAGAUUCUAAAGUUACAUAAAAGAACAUGGAUCAAUCAUUUUAGUAGAUUAAGGAGGCAAUACAAAUAUGCUGGCAUGUUGUUUCACUUAGGGUACCUGAAUAAAUAAUGAAACUCUUCACUAAUGCAUGGUAUAUAUACUCUUGCCUUUCCAAGUCGCUCAGCAUUUUUACCAAGUUUUACUGUAUCUAUGUAUGCUACAGGCACAAAUGCAUGCAAAGGUAUAUCAUCCCCAUCUAUCAUAUUAACUCAUUAUUAAAUUGAUAAAAACAGGUAAGCAUAACAACAGGAAAAUAUAUUUAUAAAAAUAACUCAAUUGUGGAGCUUAGGUCUGAUUUAAAGAAUACUGAUAUGAUUAUAUUUUAACAUUCUUUUCUAAGAUAUUUAUGUAAGAAGAAAUAUAUAUAAUUAUGCAUCUUAGUACAUUUCAUUUUUUUAUCUUUCAUUUCUAGAAAAAAUCCAUUUUAAUUAUAAGGAAAAAAUGCCUCCUUUUCGGAAUAAAUAAAUCUCUCCUGCUACCCCAAUAAGGAUUUUUAAGGGUGGGGUAACAUAGUACCUUUCCUCCCCAUUAAGAAUUAGUAAAUUUACUUAUUUAAAUUUUUGUAUGUUUUAUAUUAUAAAAUUCUUAUUAAAUUCUCUAUAUCACAUAUCUCAAACUUGUAGUAUUAAGUCUAUUGUUUAAAAAAGUAAGCAAAAUACAUACAAGGAAAAAGCAAGCAGAGUAGGCAAGGAGAAAAAGGAAGAAAGAAUUAUGGUUAGCUUAUUAUGACAUCGUCUACCAUCAUCAAUUUACACAGAAAGCAAGCUAGCAUGCAGCGACAAUCAUACCGAGCAUUCAAAGCAAAUACCUUGACUCCACAGACCCCAUAAAAGCAUGACAACUAACUAAAGGACAGCAGAAGGAGAACUGCAUUAAAAGGGAUAGGUAUGUUAAGUCAGGCACCUUGGAGCCAUCUCAACUCAAACCAGGUGGAUUCAUCCUGAAGAGCAGCAAGACCUGAAAACUUCUACAGGACCAAGCAGAUACAUUUCAUCUUAAUGGACAAAAGGCUGAUAAAUCUGACACCACAGAUAGAUAAAAGCACUUGGGAUAAGCAGCAUAAAGGAAUAACUACUCGAGCCAGUCAGUUUUUCAACCAAGAAGUAAAAGUAUCACCAGCGUCUGGGAUACAGCAAUGGCAAAGAUGGAUAUUAUGAAAAAAACCCUUAAAGUGAAAAAGAAAAAAAUCAGCAAAAUUUGUAUAUCACACACACACACACACACACACACACACACACACACACAAUCUAUCCAAAGUGGAGGUUUAUAAUUAAAUAGAUUCUAAGGGUGUAAGACUUGGUGUCUGUAUGAACCUUCAUAUGUACCUGGGAGUUACUACCUAGCUUUUAUCAGAUUCUCCAGGGAGUCUACAAGCUUCAAAAUUUUAAGAGCCACUGAAGCCUAUAUCUCACCAUAACUCUAGAAGGUAGAGUUGUCACAGAACAUAAAAAGAACAAUCUAAAAUAGAACAGACAAUGAAAUACAGUCUAAGUUCCUCACAGAUGCAUAAGUUAAUUCCUGAUACUCAAAUGAAGUGCAAAUAUCAUAGGAAUUAAAGUUUUUAAAAUAUUA